rfam:Cryomorphaceae bacterium BACL18 MAG-120924-bin36 contig01378, whole genome shotgun sequence.
UGCACCUGGGCAAGGCCUUACGACCAGCUCCUGACGAAUCCCCCAGGGUAGAAAUGCAGCAAGGGUAGUCGGUUGUAGCGGUGCGAUAAGUGUCCUUGCCCUUUU